GUGACCAGUGGAGAGCAGUGGAGAGCAGUGGAGAGCAGUGGAGAUCGUGGCUGCUGGGAAAGCUGACGGACACCUCCAGACCUCCCCGAAGGGGGCCUGACUUGGUCCUUUGCUGACUGGAGCAGCAUGGCUGCCGGCCCUGGCCGUGGUGUGGAGUGGAGGCAGGCGGGUAGACCACCACCAGCCACACUCGGCCCCUCCCACCCUCCUCCUCAAACAGGGGGAAGGAGACUUGAACUUUUAAAUUGCCAUUUGGCACCUUUCAAUUUUUAAAUCUGAGGAUCAAUUCAGCUGUGACCUGAACUGCUCCAGACUGAGAAAUCUAUCAAGUCCUUGACAGACCAGUUACUCACUUUGGAUGGUUUCCCAAGAUGCAUGUUAAUUCUAUUUGAUAACCUAUGGUAGGCCCAGGCAGUUUUCUCAUCUCUUUCUGCAGUGGCCCACAUGCUUACAUCAAGAAAUCUUACCCAGGCAGUGGUAGGCACACACCUUUAAUCCCAGUGGGGGCAGAGGCAGGCAGAUCUCUGUGAUCUUGAGGCCAGCAUGGUCUAGAGUUAGUUCCAUGACAGCCAGGGCUACACAGAGAAAACCUGUCUCAACACACACACACACACACACACACACACACACACACACACACACACACACACACACACACACCAAAAACAAAAACAACUUAGGUUGUCAGAACUGAUGCCUUCAAUGCCAGCACUUUAGAGGCAGAGGCAGGAGGAUCUCUAUGUCUAUGAGCUCAAUGCCAGCCUGGUCUACAUAGCAAGUUCCAGGACAGCCUGGUCCACAUAGAGGGACCCUGUUUCAAAACAAUAACAAAACCUUAAGUUUAAAUACAUAUAAAACCACCUGCACACGACUCUCAUGGUGGUGCUAUGUAUCCAAGUAGAAAUUCCAUAUAUAUGUGGAAUACACACACACACACACACACACACACAGGUCAUAUCUAUCCAGGGAGAUCAUCCACAUGUUUUCAAUUUCAAACGUAAUUUCUUUAUAGCCAGGAUGAUCAUGUUUCAGGAAAACAAUUCCCACAGGAUGAGUGACAUGUUGACAGCAUGAAUAGCAUUCACCCCAUGUUUCUAGGGGCUGAGCCCUGUCCUAAUUUCUGUUGUCUCCCCUCGACACAAGGACCAGAAGGGACUACCAUGCACAUCCAUGAGGAGCUGGGUGCAUGUCUGGAAAGCAUCCCCUAGAGGGGCCUUUAGCUCCGGCCUGCUGGCUCCCCAACUCUGGUUAGGUACUCACUACCCCGCUGUGGGGACAACCCCCUCCGUCUUUGGAAAACUUGUUCUCAUGGUUGCAGCCAGUAUGGCCGUGUAGAACAAGUCCAUUCCCUUUGCACAACCACCUCUCAAACACCAGGAAGGACUAUGUCUAAGAGGCUCGGUAGUGUUCGGUAAGAACCGUAAGGGUUUCCUUCGAAGCCAAGGCAGGGGAGGCAGCUCAGGCCUCCCACACAGCAUCCCCUCAGAGGUGCUAGCAGGCCCAGCCUCCCCCUUGCUGGCCGAGGAAACGCUGUUGAGUCAUUCUGAAGGGAAAAUUGGAACCAUGUGCAUAUACCAAGGGUCCUGUCACUCUAGAUUUGCCAGUGUGCAUGCUCAGUGUUCCCAAGAGGGAAGAGACUGCCUGCUGGGCACCUAAAUGUAGGCAGUGAGCAGAUUAACAAUUUACUAAAAUGCAAAAAAUGUGCUGGGCAACUUAAGUUAUAAACUCAAGUACCUUCCCAUUCAUCUGGUCUCUCAAUAAUGGCUUUAACAGAGCGUGACGGCGCGAGUAUCCCUGACACUUACGAACUGUGUGCCCUUCUUGCAGAGGGCUGCAGCUGGCUCCAGCGUGGCCGGUGGUACCUUCUGCCCACCUCAGCUCUCCUGCACCCUUAAGUGGGAAAAGGGACCGUCUGGACCACUGCUGCUUCCACACUUGCGGGGACAAUGGGAGCUUCCAUUUCUGCGUCUGCAAGGGAGGCUGCUGUCGCCUAACACCCUGCUGACUUGCUAGGCACAUCCCAUGCUCAGCAGUCAAGUCAGCCAAGCAUGGCUCCUCAAUUGUCCUUUCCCGCUUAACUCUCUUCCCGGCGCCUCUGGGCCCUGCUGCGGCCACGGGCAGGCCCCAACUAAGAAGAGCCCCUGGCUGCGUGCUGCCAAUGACCACACCACAUGCCCGGCACCCCCCCACCCCACCCCGUUCAUUCAUUCUCAGUGUAGAGAUGCAUGACCCUGCUGCAUUCGGCCGGCAUAGAGCACACCUGUCCCUUUCUGGCACUGUAGCACUGCAGUGGCCACGGAGUGGAGCUGACCUCUGCUAGGUCACAGGUUGUUCGGAACCUCAGCAAUGUGCCACACAGCUCUUCCCACCAGCCCUCUGCUCUUCAGAAGUCCCUCCUCGUUCCAGAUCCGAGAAAGGCCACAAAGCUCCGUGAGCAACCCAAGAAGCAAGACAAGAGUCAGCCAUGUUCUCCCAGUCCUGAGUCCACCUCACACACACGUGCACAAAGACCAGAGAAAUGCACUGGAGGACCAGCAGGGCUCACCUCUGAGUGUGUGUGUGUUCCAGCAUGUGCAGGUACAUGUGUGUGUGUUCCUGUAUAUGUGGAUAGUAUUCCUGUAUGUGCAGGUAACGUGUGUUCCUUUAUGUGUGGCUGUUGGUGCAUUCCUGUGUGUGCAGGUUCAUGUGUGUGCUCAUGUUUGGGUACAUGUGUUCCUGUAUGUCUGGGUACAUGUGUGUAUUCCUGUAUGUGCAGGUACAUGUGUGUUCCUGUAUGUGCGGGUACAUGUGUGUGUUCCUGUAUGUGCGGGUACAUGUGUGUGUUCCUGUGUGUGCGGAUACACGUGUAGAGGACAGAAGACAACCCAAAGUGUUUUUCAGGUAUCUUUCUCUUUCCUCAUUGGUCUGAAGGUCACCAAGUAGGCUAGCGGGCUCCACAGCAGGCCUCCAGGGACCUGCCUCUGCCUGUCCAGUGCUCUGACCCUAAGUGUGCACCACCAAGCCCGCCUUGUUUACGUGGGUUCUGGUGACUGAACUCAGGUACUGCACACGCCACCAACUGAGCCAUCUCUCCAGUCCUAAUUUUUAAAAAUACUUUAUCGUACCUGCUUAAAAUUCCUAUAAAGUUUAAUAAUUUUUAUAUUCUGUAAGUUUUUAAAAAUAAAGCAGUUGAAUCUGUUAAUUUGA